CCUACGGGAGGCAGCAGUGGGGAAUAUUGCGCAAUGGGCGAAAGCCUGACGCAGCCACGCCGCGUGAGUGAUGAAGGCCUUCGGGUUGUAAAGCUCUGUCGGGAGGGACGAAGGGGGCAACCCCUGACGGUACCUCGCAAGAAAGCACCGGCUAACUCUGUGCCAGCAGCCGCGGUAAUACAGAGGGUGCAAGCGUUGCUCGGAUUUACUGGGCGUAAAGCGUACGCAGACGGUGAGAAAGGUCGGAUGUGAAAGCCCCGGGCUCAACCCGGGAACUGCAUCCGAAACCAUCUCGCUCGAGUGUGGGAGAGGGAAGCGGAAUUCCUGGUGUAGAGGUGAAAUUCGUAGAUAUCAGGAGGAACACCGGCGGCGAAGGCGGCUUCCUGGCCCAUUACUGACGUUCAGGUACGAAAGCGUGGGUAGCAAACAGGAUUAGAUAC
rnacentral:rRNA from 1 species